rnacentral:rRNA from 1 species
UGAUUCUUCGGAUGAAGAUCCUGGUGACUGAGUGGCGGACGGGUGAGUAACGCGUGGGUAACCUGCCUCAUACAGGGGGAUAACAGUUAGAAAUGACUGCUAAUACCGCAUAAGACCACAGCACCGCAUGGUGCAGGGGCAAAAACUCCGGUGGUAUGAGAUGGACCCGCGUCUGAUUAGGUAGUUGGUGGGGUAACGGCCUACCAAGCCGACGAUCAGUAGCCGACCUGAGAGGGUGACCGGCCACAUUGGGACUGAGACACGGCCCAAACUCCUACGGGAGGCAGCAGUGGGGAAUAUUGCACAAUGGGGGAAACCCUGAUGCAGCGACGCCGCGUGAGCGAUGAAGUAUUUCGGUAUGUAAAGCUCUAUCAGCAGGGAAGAAAAUGACGGUACCUGACUAAGAAGCACCGGCUAAAUACGUGCCAGCAGCCGCGGUAAUACGUAUGGUGCAAGCGUUAUCCGGAUUUACUGGGUGUAAAGGGAGCGUAGACGGAGUGGCAAGUCUGAUGUGAAAACCCGGGGCUCAACCCCGGGACUGCAUUGGAAACUGUCAAUCUGGAGUACCGGAGAGGUAAGCGGAAUUCCUAGUGUAGCGGUGAAAUGCGUAGAUAUUAGGAGGAACAC